GAUGAACGCUGGCGGCGUGCCUAAUACAUGCAAGUCGAGCGAACGGACGAGAAGCUUGCUUCUCUGAUGUUAGCGGCGGACGGGUGAGUAACACGUGGAUAACCUACCUAUAAGACUGGGAUAACUUCGGGAAACCGGAGCUAAUACCGGAUAAUAUUAUGAACCGCAUGGUUCAAAAGUGAAAGACGGUCUUGCUGUCACUUAUAGAUGGAUCCGCGCUGCAUUAGCUAGUUGGUAAGGUAACGGCUUACCAAGGCAACGAUGCAUAGCCGACCUGAGAGGGUGAGAGGCGACACUGGGACUGAGAGACGCUCCCGACUCCCCUGGGAGGGACAAGAAGGGAAUAUUUCCCACAGGGGGAAAACCCGACGGAGCACAGCCCCGCGAGUGAUGAAAGUGUUCGGGGCUUAAAACACUGUUUUUAGGGGAAAAAAUAUGUGUAAAAAACUGUUCAAAUCCUGACGGUACCUAAUCAGAAAGCCCCGGCUAACUACGUG
rnacentral:rRNA from 1 species